rnacentral:rRNA from 1 species
AUGAAGGAAAUAUUUGACAUAACUGAAUUGCUCGGCCAACAAGCCUUAGAAAAGAAAUCACAAGAUAUUGUGAAUGUUGUCCGUCUAGUAUCGCCAACAAAACAGUGUCUUCAGGAGUUGAGAUCAGGGGAUGGCUACCAAGUAUAUAUUACUACGGUUGUUGAAUUUUGUGUAAACCAUUCCAUUGACAUUCCCGACUUUGAGGAAACAUACAUCAUGCAUGGUGAGCAUGCCUGUUGUCAACCUGAUCAGUUCACCAAGGAGCAUUACUUUCAAGUGGAAAUUUUAUUUUCAACACCGGACACUCAACUAUUUCAAUUAAAUGGAAGAUUCAACGAGAAGGUAAUGGAUCUUCUAACCAUUAGCGCCACCUUGAUUCCUAGAAACAAAUUUAGACGAUUCAAAGCUAGUGAUAUAUGUGAGAUGGUGAAAAAGUACUACCCAACAGAUUUUCCCCAAGAUAUUUAUGGAUUACAACAGCAACUUAAACACUUUGUUUCAGAUGCUUCCAAGGAUGAUGACUUGAAAAAUAUAUCUACCUUGAUUGAUCUAUGUCGAUGCCUUGUGGAGACAGGAAGACAUGCCGUCUACAACUUGAUUGACAGAUUACUUCAUUUGCUCAUUACCCUUCCAGUUUCUACAGCAAGUGUUGAACGUGCAUUUUCUAGUAUGAAGAUCAUUAAGACAAGGUUGCGCGAUAAGAUGAAAGAUGAAAAUCUUGCUAAUAACUUGUUAUUUCACAUAGAGGGUGGAAUUCUUGUGAAUUACAGCCACGAAGAUGUCAUUGCAAAUUCUGUCAGAUUCACGGCUCCGCAGACCCAAGAAAGGUUCGAACUCUGGGGCGUGUGCGAAGAACUCAACCGCUCGAGCUCGCCAACUCGUUGCCCUACAGCCUAG